UGAGGAAUAUUGGUCAAUGGACGAGAGUCUGAACCAGCCAAGUAGCGUGCAGGAUGACGGCCCUAUGGGUUGUAAACUGCUUUUGUUUGGGAAUAAUCGACAUUACGUUUAAUGUUUUGCAUGUACCAUUCGAAUAAGGACCGGCUAUUUCCGUGCCAGCAGCCGCGGUAAUACGGUAGGUCCAGGCGUUAUCCGGUUUUAUUGGGUUUAAAGGGAGUGUAGGCGGUUGGUUAAGCGUGUUGUGAAAUGUAGAUGCUCAACAUCUGACUUGCAGCGCGAACUGGCUGACUUGAGGACACACAACGUAGGCGGAAGUCAUGGUGGAGCGGUGAAGUGCUUAGAUAUCAUGAAGAACACCGAUUGCGAAGGCAGCUUACGGGAGUGUUACUGACGCUGAAGAUGGGAGGUGCGGGUAUCGAACAGG
rnacentral:rRNA from 1 species